UACGGAGGGGGCAGGCGUUAUUCGGAAUUAUUGGGCGUAAAGGGCGCGUAGGCGGCUAGAUGUGUCAAAGGUGAAAUCCCUCGGCUCAACUGAGGAACUGCCUUUGAAACUGUCUGGCUUGAGGCCGGGAGAGGGUAGCGGAAUUCCCAGUGUAGCGGUGAAAUGCGUAGAUAUUGGGAGGAACACCAGUGGCGAAGGCAGCUCACUGGGACGAUACUGACGCUGAGACGCGAAAGCGUGGGGAGCAAACAGG
rnacentral:rRNA from 1 species